CCUGCCCCUAGAAGUGUUGCAGUUACGACUGCUGUGUCACAUGUGCUCAGUAGGUGGCAGAGAGGGGAGAGGCUAUGUCCACACUCAGUGUUCUGACCUGUGAACAUCUGAAUUAUUAGUAGCCUACCAGU